AGCAUCUAUAGAUAAAUUGAGCAAACACGACUGUUAUUUAUUACUACAAUAAAUUGAUUUAUGGAUCAUUUUCGAAAAAAUAUAAUAACUUAACUGUUUUAUCUUAUCGAUCGACCAUUAAUGUUAAUAGGCUUAUAAUAAAAGUACCGGGCGGCUCCGCAGAUUCGUUAGUCGAUUCAAAGUGUCAAUAGUUGAUGUAAAUUAUAAUUAUAAAAUGAAGCUCAAGAACGCCUUGAUUUUGUUGUUUGUUUGCACGUGCAAUUCUGUCUCAAUGAAAGCUCUGAGGGAAGAGGAGAUGAUGAAGUUGUCCCUCAAUAAUUAUACUUUAUUGUGGGUCAACACUUUGACUGAAUAUAUUUUGAACAACGAGAGAUAUAAGCGUGACCAAAGCAAAGCCGAGGACUUUUUGCUACGCCGAGAAUACAUACUGUCGCAGUUCAAAAAAUUCCGACGAGUUGGCCGAGCCAAAAGUUACUUUGCAAGAAAUGACGUUUACAAAAACACGUUGAGAAGACGAAGCCUGCCACCGCCUAUCAAGCCUGAUUUGAGAAACGAUGUGCAAAUCACUAAUAUUUAGCCGGCGAUUUAAUAUCUUAUCAGCGAACAGCUGCCGGUUUUUGUACAGUCUACAGCUCACGCAAGCUCCCUAAUUGUAUAGUUUUUUCUAAUAAAAUAUUUAAAUUAAAUUUAUUAGUUUGCAUGUAAAAUAAAAAAAA